GGGGAGAUUCCCGAGCGGUCAAAGGGAGCAGACUGUAAAUCUGCCGCCGUAGUGCUUCGGAGGUUCGAAUCCUCCUCUCCCCACCA
rnacentral:tRNA from 1 species